rnacentral:lncRNA from 1 species
CCGCCAGUCUAUAAGUCUCCUCCACCACCGGUGUACAAGUACAAAUCUCCUCCCCCGCCGGUUUACAAGUACAAGUCACCACCACCGCCGCCAGUCUAUAAGUCUCCUCCACCACCGGUGUACAAGUACAAAUCUCCUCCCCCGCCGGUUUACAAGUACAAGUCACCACCGCCACCGGUGUACAAGUCGCCUCCUCCACCAACAAAGCCAUACAAGUACAAGUCUCCACCACCACCAGUCUAUAAGUCACCACCGCCACCGGUUUACAAGUAAAAACCCCCCCCGCCACCGGUGUACAAGUAUAAGUCACCGCCGCCUCCAGUCUACAAGUCUCCUCCGCCACCAGUUUACAAGUACAAAUCACCGCCGCCGCCAGUCUAUAAGUCACCACCGCCUCCAAUGAAGCCAUACAAGUACAAGUCACCACCACCGCCGCCGGUUUACAAGUCUCCUCCUCCGCCGGUGUACAAGUACAAAUCACCGCCGCCGCCAGUCUAUAAGUCACCACCGCCUCCAAUGAAGCCAUACAAGUACAAGUCACCACCACCGCCGCCAGUCUAUAAGUCUCCUCCACCACCGGUGUACAAGUACAAAUCACCACCGCCACCGGUUUACAAGUACAAGUCACCGCCGCCGCCGGUGCACAAACCACCUCCACAUUACAUCUCUGCGUCACCCCCUCCACCAUACCACGUCUAGAUGAGUCAACCCCCCAAGGUAAUACUACUAAUCAACAACUCAUAUCCAAUCACUGAAUAAGGGGCCGUUUGACAUAGAGAAAAUAUAUUUGUAUUUGUGGGAAAAUUAUUUAUUUUGAAAUUAACAUAUUUGCAUUAGUGACAAAUAUCACAAAUAUUUUUAGUUAUCAUUGGUUUAUCUUAUUCUGAAAAACAAUAACGUAAUUCUAAUUUCCUCAAAUAAAAAAUUUAGUUCUAUUAUUUAUGAAAUAUACAUAUCAAACAUUAUAGCCUAGCAAGUUUUUAUUAAUUAAUAAUACUGACCCCUCUCUCAACAACUCGAGCUAUUGGAGAUACGAUGAUCGAUUUUGGACAUGGUAUCAUAGAUUUAAAAAACCAAGAGGUCUCCUUUUCAAAUCCCGACAGUCUCCAUUCCGUACAUAUGACUUAUCGUGUGAACCUCAUUUCUUCUUAAAACUUCUGUCUGAAGGGCAUAUUAAUGAAUACUAUAUACAAAAUUGAUCUGAACCUUCCCCCAACAACUUACAAUGCAACGAUUCAUGACAAUUUUCUCGAUUUAGUACUCGAUACUCGGUACGAAACGGUGCCUUAAUUACUAACUUGUGUCUUGGUCCU